rnacentral:rRNA from 1 species
CACACGACUCUCGGCAACGGAUAUCUUGGCUCUUGCAUCGAUGAAGAACGUAGCGAAAUGCGAUACCUGGUGUGAAUUGCAGAAUCCCGUGAACCAUCGAGUCUUUGAACGCAAGUUGCGCCCGAGGCCACUCGGUCGAGGGCACGCCUGCUUGGGCGUCACGC